AGGCUGUGCUGUGAGUCACUUACCGCCCCUGUUCUGUUACUAUUAUCGGCUCACAGGGCCACCUUUCCCCCUUGCCAGUGCCAUGUGGCCAGGCCUGGCAGUGGAUCAAGUCUCUCCCGAGCCAUGUGUCUACCGCUACCUGGCUGCCCGCACCCUCCCUCUCCGGAACCAAACUGGCCAGAGAGCUGCAGCUGCCUCUGCCUCAGGACUCUCAGCCUCGCUCAGUUCACUACAAAGCUGGGUCCCCUUCUUCGAGCCCUCGCCAGCUGCUCCAUCCUCAUACGAAAGCCUCCAGCCGCUCUGCAGCCACCUCCUAAUCCGCAUUCUGGGCUGCAGUUCUCCUGCCCCGCCCCUUCCUCUCCUGCCCUCUCCCUUCCUUCCAGCAACGUUAGCCUUGUAAUCAUUCUGACUUCUUUCUCUAACUCCCCUGACCAGGAAGCUUUUCCUAAUUUUGACUGGAGGAAAGGUACAUGAAAAGCCAGAAAAGGAUGUCGGGUCCCUUGGAGCUGUUGUUACAGUGGUUAAUGCGCUGCGCAGAACUGAACUCGGGUUCGCUGGAAGAGCGGCAAGGGCUCUUAACCGCAGAGCCACCUCUCCUGCCCCUACCUGCACCCCUGUGGACAUCAGAGGACAACUUGGAGGAGUCAGCUCUAUCCAGGAAUCGAACUCAAAUCAUCAGGCUUGGCAGCAAGAACCUUUACCAGCUGAGCCAUUUUUUAGCCCAUGUUAUAAUUUUUUACAGUGUGAAUAUUCAGCUGGUAGGUGCGUGCGUCUGCUUAUGGUCGAGGGAAUUGAGUGGGAUUUUGUGCAACUUUUC